rnacentral:rRNA from 1 species
GACGAACGCUGGCGGCGUGCUUAACACAUGCGAGUCGAACGAAGAGCGAUGGAAGCUUGCUUCUAUCAAUCUUAGUGGCGAACGGGUGAGUAACGCGUAAUCAACCUGCCCUUCAGAGGGGGACAACAGUUGGAAACGACUGCUAAUACCGCAUACGAUCCAAUCUCGGCAUCGAGGAUGGAUGAAAGGUGGCCUCUAUUUAUAAGCUAUCACUGAAGGAGGGGAUUGCGUCUGAUUAGCUAGUUGGAGGGGUAACGGCCCACCAAGGCGAUGAUCAGUAGCCGGUCUGAGAGGAUGAACGGCCACAUUGGGACUGAGACACGGCCCAGACUCCUACGGGAGGCAGCAGUGGGGAAUCUUCCGCAAUGGACGAAAGUCUGACGGAGCAACGCCGCGUGAGUGAUGACGGCCUUCGGGUUGUAAAGCUCUGUUAAUCGGGACGAAAGGUCCUCUUGCGAAUAGUUAGAGGAAUUGACGGUACCGGAAUAGAAAGCCACGGCUAACUACGUG